CUACGGGUCGCAGCAGUGAGGAAUAUUGCACAAUGGGGGGAACCCUGAUGCAGCAACGCCGCGUGGAGGAUGACGCAUUUCAGUGUGUAAACUCCUUUUAUAUGUCAAGAAAAUGACGGUAGCAUAUGAAUAAGCACCGGCUAACUCCGUGCCAGCAGCCGCGGUAAUACGGAUGGUGCAAGCGUUACUCGGAAUCACUGGGCGUAAAGGACGCGUAGGCGGGUUGGAAAGUCAGGUGUGAAAUCCUACAGCUUAACUGUAGAACUGUACUUGAAACUUCUAAUCUAGAGUAUGGGAGGAGGAGAUGGAAUUAGUGGUGUAGGGGUAAAAUCCGUAGAUAUCACUAGGAAUACCUAAAGCGAAGGCGAUCUCCUGGAACAUUACUGACGCUAAGGCGUGAAAGCGUGGGGAGCAAACAGGAUUAGAUACCCCCGUAGUC
rnacentral:rRNA from 1 species